rnacentral:rRNA from 1 species
UACGGAGGAGGCAAGCGUUAUCCGGAAUUAUUGGGCGUAAAGCGUCCGUAGGUGGCUAGUCAAGUCUGCGGUCAAAGACUGGGGCUUAACCCUGGAAAGGCCGUGGAAACUGACGAGCUAGAGUGCAGUAGGGGUAGAGGGAAUUCCCGGUGUAGCGGUGAAAUGCGUAGAGCUCGGGAAGAACAUCGGUGGCGAAGGCGGCAUCCUGGACCGAGAUUGACGCUGAUGCGCGAAAGCCAGGGGAGCAAACGGG